rnacentral:rRNA from 1 species
AUAUUGGACAAUGGGCGCAAGCCUGAUCCAGCCAUGCCGCGUGAGUGAAGAAGGCCCUCGGGUUGUAAAGCUCUUUUGUCCGGAAAGAAAAGCUUUCGGUUAAUACCCGGAAGUCAUGACGGUACCGUAAGAAUAAGCACCGGCUAACUACGUGCCAGCAGCCGCGGUAAUACGUAGGGUGCGAGCGUUAAUCGGAAUUACUGGGCGUAAAGCGUGCGCAGGCGGUGAUGUAAGACAGAUGUGAAAUCCCCGGGCUCAACCUGGGAACUGCAUUUGUGACUGCAUCGCUGGAGUGCGGCAGAGGGGGAUGGAAUUCCGCGUGUAGCAGUGAAAUGCGUAGAUAUGCGGAGGAACACCGAUGGCGAAGGCAAUCCCCUGGGCCUGCACUGACGCUCAUGCACGAAAGCGUGGGGAGCAA